rnacentral:rRNA from 1 species
UACGUAGGGGGCUAGCGUUAUCCGGAAUUACUGGGCGUAAAGGGUGCGUAGGUGGUUUCUUAAGUCAGAGGUGAAAGGCUACGGCUCAACCGUAGUAAGCCUUUGAAACUGGGAAACUUGAGUGCAGGAGAGGAGAGUGGAAUUCCUAGUGUAGCGGUGAAAUGCGUAGAUAUUAGGAGGAACACCAGUUGCGAAGGCGGCUCUCUGGACUGUAACUGACACUGAGGCACGAAAGCGUGGGGAGCAAACAGGAUUAGAUACCCGGGUAGUCCCUGAGCGGGCU